UUCCAGGCCGGCUUUGAUUCCAGGCCCGGUCUCUUAUCCUGCAUUUCGAUGAUUAUUUCAUCCCACCUCGGGAGGUCCGAUUAGCUAAUCCCACAUACAUCUCGAUUGAAACCUUACGUCAUAUUACCAAGUUGCCAUCUGCAAAAUUUAACAAUUGCAAAAUAACCGGAUAUAAAUAAAUUUAUUCUCCCGAGAUGAAUUAUUGUGACCUAACGAUGCAGAGAGAUUUCAAUUGUUCAUUUUAUCUCUGCAUUUUUUCUCUUCAUCUUCUUUAAAAUUCCUAUUUAUCAUUUUUUUCAUUUCGAUUCUUGUACACACAGUAGUUCAUACGUACGAGCGGCAAAUUUUUGCACUCGAGCAGCAACAGAUCGUGGCUGGAUUGCAGUAUUUUCGUGUACGGUUGUUCGAAUGUGAACGGGAGGAAUACCCUGGUGAUGGGUUUGAAAUAGAAGAACUUCGGCGUCUUCGCGGUGGCGCCGAGGUUGAAACUGGGCACGUUUUCGCGGCGGCGGUGGUGGAGUUGUCUUUUAUGUAUCCCUUUUCUAAUUGAAUCUAAUAAUUUCUCUCUCUCCAGAUUAGGAUUGCCGCUGGCACCUUGUUAGUUCUCUCCCGGUCAGCCAUAGUCGAUUAUUUAUUGGGAGUGAUUCUUAGCAAGUAGUCGAACCAGGUUCUCAUCGUAGACAAAUAAAUUGAAUUUCUUAUAUAUAUAAAAAAAAGAACUAAUAGAUUGAACAACAAAGUACUACAUAUUUCAGCUAAUUGCGAGGUGAAGGAUGGUGAUCAAGAACUACCAAAGUUGAUACCAAAGUUGAUUUGAGAUGCUAUGCUUUGAUUUAUUCAGGAAUUAUUUCUUCCAUACUAAGUUUUUGUUAAUACAUUGUUUUUUUUUUUCUUUUCUAGUUAAUGUAGUAUGAAUAUUAAAAGAUAGUUAAUUUUUGUAUUGUUUCUUCAAUUUGACUCGUAUAUUAAUAAAAUUUAUUUAUUUCA